ACUCCAUUCUAGAUAGUUAGAGCCAUUAAGCUCGUGUUUUGUGAUCUUAGUUACCACUAGAAUUACAACAAAAAUUUUGAACUUAGUCUCAACCAUAGCGUCUCAAAAACAAAUCCCAACAAUAAAAAGUGACUAAAAGCAAAAUCACAUUACAUAGAAGCUAAGAGAGUGACUAAGAGCAUAAGAGAAACCAUCAGGAGCAAAAUCACAAUAAAGCCACUAGUCAAAAUCAUCAUAAGGUUACAAGGCCCAAACACUAGAACACUUUCAAAUGUAGGUAGUUCACAGGAUUGCACUACCCUCCUUACGUCAAUGCUAGAGAAGAAAAUCAGAGGGAAGAACACCAACGAACAAGCCACCACGCGCCAGCGAAUGGAGUAGAGGCAAAAACUAAACAGUGGCAUGUGAGAGCCCCUCGCGGCAAGUCUGGUCAAUAGACUUUGAGGGGAGGUUGGUUAGCUGUUGCACUUCCUACUAAGGGAAGCGGUAAGGCCAAAAAGUCAUCUUACAUAGAUGACCAAGGGUAACAAUAGGUUUUGUAAAAAUAGGGUAAGCAAGAAAAGAGAAAAACAAGAUAGGUUUUCUAAUAGUUGCUUAAAAUAUCUUUAUCAUUGCAUACUUAGUCAUUUAAGUUUGUUACUUAUUCAAUUAGCUUAUUAAUACUUAUUUUUAUGUUAUUAGGUGUUUACAAGAGAAUGUAAGAGCUUAUAAAGCAUAAAGAAGUAAACUGAGUACCAAAAAAAAAAAAAAAAGA
rnacentral:misc_RNA from 1 species